GCACUGCUGAGGAGUCCCACAAUAGGAGUAAACGGUUCGUCCCAGUGC
rnacentral:hammerhead_ribozyme from 1 species